rnacentral:rRNA from 1 species
UGUGGCUGGGGGUGAAAGGCCAAUCAAACCGGGAGAUAGCUGGUUCUCCCCGAAAUCUAUUUAGGUAGAGCCUCGGACGAAUUCCUUUGGGGGUAGAGCACUGUUAAGGCUAGGGGGUCAUCCCGACUUACCAACCCUUUGCAAACUCCGAAUACCAAAGAGAACUAUCCGGGAGACACACGGCGGGUGCUAACGUCCGUCGUGAAGAGGGAAACAACCCAGACCGCCAGCUAAGGUCCCAAAAUAUUGCUAAGUGGGAAACGAUGUGGGAAGGCAUAGACAGCUAGGAGGUUGGCUUAGAAGCAGCCACCCUUUAAAGAAAGCGUAAUAGCUCACUAGUCGAGUCGGCCUGCGCGGAAGAUGUAACGGGGCUAAGCAAUAUACCGAAGCUGCGGCAGCAUAGUUUACUAUGCUGGGUAGGGGAGCGUUGUGUAAGUGGCUGAAGGUGAGUUGAGAAGCUUGCUGGACAUAUCACAAGUGCGAAUGCUGACAUGAGUAACGAUAAUGGG